CUAGCUGUAAACGAUGGAUACUAGGCGUUGAGAGUAUCGACCCUCUCAGUGUCGUAGCUAACGCGUUAAGUAUCCCGCCUGGGGAGUACGCGCGCAAGCGUGAAACUCAAAGGAAUUGACGGGGGCCCGCACAAGCGGUGGAGUAUGUGGUUUAAUUUGAUGCAACGCGAAGAACCUUACCAGGGCUUGACAUGUCCGGAACCCUGCCCAAAGGCGGGGGUGCCUACGGGAACCGGAACACAGGUGGUGC
rnacentral:rRNA from 1 species